CCAGUAGUCAUAUGCUUGUCUCAAAGAUUAAGCCAUGCAUGUCUAAGUCCAAGCUGUGUUCACACGGCGAGACCGCGGACGGCUCAUUAAAUCAGUCGUGGUCCAAAUGGGCCAGUGCAAAUCCUACUUGGAUAACUGUGGUAAUUCCAGAGCUAAUACAUGCAACUGAUAUCCCGAAGGCGGUGUUUGGGCUUGCUUGCCUUGCGCUGCGCUGCUCUGACGGAUGCUUUUAUUAGACCAAGCCGCUGAGGACUUGAGGGUUCGCGCUCUCUUGUCUGACUCGUGUGAUGGUGACUCUGGAUAACCAAAUUCUGACAAGCGCACGUACUUCUCUUCUGAGCGAGACGGCGCUGCCACUUUCGAGUGUCUGCCUUAUCAGCUAUCAACCGUUCGUUAUGCGCGACCGAUGGCUUUGACGGGUAACGGGGAAUCAGGGUUCGAUUCCGGAGAGGCAGCCUGAGAGACGGCUACCACGUCCAAGGACGGCAGCAGGCACGCAAAUUACCCAAUCCCAGCAAAUGGGGGAGGUAGUGACGAAAUCUAACGAUGCGGGCGCCCUUUCUGGGGCCCCGCAAUCGGAAUGGGCACUUUCUAAACAACCUGUUGAGAACCUACUGAA
rnacentral:rRNA from 1 species